UGUGUGAUUAUGAAAUAGGAGUUUGACUCAAUGGUAGUCGCAACAAAAAAUGGAAUCAAUGCACCAUCGUCUCCGAGGAAAAAUAUGUGUCUUAAUUUGAUUGAACCUCAUGUUAAGGAUAAAGCAUCUUCUGAAGAAUUGAAUAUGAUUUUGACUCAAUAUGUAGACACAUUAUCCCAGAGGAUGAAAUAUCAUAUAGGUUAUCCAAUUAACCUUUAUUAUGAGCAUCAUGCUGCUUUAGCCCCACUCUUGCAAUUUCAUUUGAACAAUUUUGGAGACCCCUUUACUCAGCACCCUACAGAUUUCCAUUCAAAAGAUUAUGAAGUGGCUGUUUUAGUUUGGUUUGCACAACUCUGGGAAAUUGAGAAAGAUGAAUAUUGGGGAUACAUUACUAGUGGUGGCACUGAGGGCAAUCUCCAUGGUCUUUUGGUUGGAAGAGAGCUACUUCCCGAUGGAAUAAUAUAUGCAUCAACAGACUCACAUUACUCGAUCUUCAAAGCAGCAAGAAUGUAUCGAAUGGAACUAGAAACUAUUAACAGUUUAGUUAAUGGGGAAAUUGAUUAUGAAGAUUUGCGAUCAAAGUUACUUGUCAACAAGAACAAACCAGCCAUCAUCAAUAUCAAUUUUGGAACUACCUACAAAGGAGCAAUUGAUGAUGUUGAUAUGAUCCUACAAAUACUUGAAAAUUGUGGUUAUUCCAAUGAUAGGUUUUACAUCCAUUGUGAUGCUGCACUAUAUGGGUUAAUUGUCCCCUUCAUCAACCAUGCGAAAAUAAUUACCUUCAAGAAGUCAAUAGGCAGUAUUUCAGUUUCAGGCCACAAAUUUUUGGGAUGUUCCAUGCCUUGUGGAGUUCAAAUAACAAGGAAAACUUACAUUACUACUAUCUCAAGAAAAGUUGAGUAUAUUGCCUCAAUAGAUAAUACAAUUUCUGGAAGUCGAAAUGGUUUGGCACCAAUAUUCUUAUGGUACAGUUUAAGCAUGAAAGGUCAUGUCGGAUUGCAACAAGAUGCCAAAAUGUGCUAUGAAAAUGCUCGGUAUUUGAAGGACCGGCUUCAUAAAGCAGGAAUUAGUGCUAUGCUCAAUGAGUUUAGCAAUAUCGUGGUGUUUGAACGACCUUGUGACGAUAAGUUCAUUCGUCGUUGGCAACUAUCUUGCACAAGAGAUAUGGCACAUGUUGUGGUUAUGCCAGGCACAACAAAAGAAAUCAUAGACAAUUUUUUCAAGGAUUUAAUGCAAGAGAGGGGAAAAUGGUGUGGAAUAACUUUGGCUCCUUGUCUAGCAGAUGAUAUAGGUUCUCAAAAUUGUCUAUGCUCCUAUCACAACAUGCAUCACUAAAAUUCCUUUGGAAUGAUCUUGAUUAUGGAGUAUGUUGGAGUGACUCAAAAUUGUUAUUAGAGUUUGAAAAUAAAUUUUCAUGUAUCUUUUUAUUUGAUUUUUUAAAAUUUAUAUUUUGAAAUGAGAAGUGUCUCAUUAUCAUCUUGUUUGCAACAAAUUUUGAAUAUGUGGAAAGUAAAUCAAUCAUAAAUAAAAUCUGAAGAAACAAGAAUAUUAUUGAUAG